rnacentral:lncRNA from 1 species
GAUUCUUCUUGUAUCAAAAUAAGAAUCCUUUUUCUUCCUAAUUCGUCAAAGAUUACUAUUUCUUCUUUAUUCGGGUCUGUCUCUUGGACCUCUUUUUCUUUUGCUUAGGUUUAGCCGAGGUAGUGGACAAACAGAGGGGAAGAAAAUAUGGCGGGGGAAAAAUUUCUUGUGAUUGUGAGCAAAUUGCUUGGCUUGUUUAAUUAAGUUCAACUUCAAAUUUACAGAAAUUUUGCAAAAAAAAAAGUAAACUCUUCCAUUGAAGGUUUUUUUUAUUUUUAGGCUAGUUGAAUAGUUUUGAUUAAGGUUUUAUUAGUUUAUUACUCGAAACUAAAUCAAGGAUUUUCAGGAUACUUCCUUCGUGGAAUAAGAUAUUGGAUCCUCGAGUGAUCUCUUUUUCUUGUUGCUUCAUAAGAGUGAAUCGAAUAGAUUCAAUUCGCGUUAUAAGAGUAAAAAUUCCGCGGGUCCUUUCCGCUCUAAUCAGAUAAAGGGGGGUAAGGACCCGCUAAGCUCCUACUUUUUCAUGUUUACAAUCUGGUCCCUCCGAUUACUAUAGAGAUGAACCCAAUCCAGAAUAUGAACCAUAAAAGAAAACACCUACUAAACCAAUCACAGCAAUACCAGCUACAGUACCUAUCAGCCAAAGAGGAAUUCUUCCAGUAGUAUCGGCCAUUUCCCCUACUUUCCUCCACAUUUUAUCAAUUGGUCAUGCUAGAGACAAAAACAGUCAUGGGUAGUUAUAAGGAUGGUAUCCUUCCAAAUGGGAUAAGAGAAUUCUUAUUAGUCUCUUUCUUUCUCUCAAUUGAAGAAGUAAUUGGAAAAUAAAACAGCAAGUACAAAAAUGAGUAAUAAACCCCAGUAUAGACUGGUACGAUUCAAUUCAACAUUUUGUUCAUUCGGGUUUGAUUGUGUCAUAGUUCUAUAGUUGGAAUUUGGUUUAUCGUUGGAUGAACUGCAUUGCUGAUAUUGAUCCCAAGAAAAAAACAGUAGGUACAGCUAGUCCGUGAAUAGCCAGCCAUCGCACUGUAAAAAUAGGAUAGGUUCGAUCUAUGGUCAUUGAGGGCCUCCUAAAAGGAUCUACUAAAUUCGUCGAGUUGUUCUAAAGAAUCAAAACGGUCGGUUAUUAACGGAAUUCCUUGUCGGCUUUCCGUGAAAUACUCGUUUGGCCUAGGACUUCCAAACACGUCAUAAGCUAAACCCGUACUGACAAAUAACCAACCCGCAAUGAAUAGGGAAGGUAUAGUAAUGCUAUGAAUAACCCAGUAUCGAAUACUGGUAAUAAUAUCAGCAAAAGAACGUUCUCCCGUGCUUCCAGACAUGCUGAACUCCCAAAAUUUUUGUACAUUCAAAAAAGGAAUUGAUUCCGUAAAAGAUGGGAUCGACCAGUAAAUAGAAAAUUACUGAUAUUUCAUCCUUGUGAGAUUGUCAAUUUUGUACCAAAGGUGUAUUUUGAGUAUACCGAAUUAGUAUAGCUAUCCUUCCUAUGGCACAGCAAUCUGGUUUUGCCUGGUUCCGAAACAUAAUUACUUUUUUUGUCUAUAGGUAAGCUAUAUGUUAUUCAAGGCAUCAAUAGAAAACCCCAUUUUUGUAGGUUCUACUUACUUUUCAUUGGCUUCGGAAUAAUAGAGUAAUUCGGAAUAGCAGCCAAAAUCUUGGGAAAAUCUAAGUUAAUGAUCAAUAGGUUUGGAUAAAUAAUUUAGGAAGGAUAUUCUCAUACUGACACAAUACAAGGACAAGUAUAUGUGAAAUCUAUCCUUUCAUAAUUCGUAAUUCAUCCUUGUAUUGUUUGUUGGAUUAGGUCUAACUUUCUUGACCAAACUGCGAGCGCGGAACUUUACGAGAUGAAAUAGGGAAAGACAGAAGAUAGAAUAGAACUUAAAAGGAUAAUUGAAGUGACUCGUCUUCGAAUCUACUUUGGUUGGAGUUCGAAAAAGGAAUAAAAAUAAAGUAAAUUCAAGGAAGAGCUUUUUUUUUUAACAGCCCCUUGGCAGGUCGUGGAAUGCUUUUGUUCUCCUCUUAUUCCAUAUGGAAUACAAUCAGUUAAAAUAAGAAGGAAUAGGGGAAUAUUCGAUCGUUCACUCCAAAAAGAGGGUCCUAUUGAAAAAGAAAUUAUCCAAAAUAGAAAGAAGUUUUUUUUUUCAAAUUCAAUUGUUUAUUUAUCUCUUAUUCAAAAAUUUCCCUGAAAAUUGAAUGAAAAAAUGAAAUUCAAUGGGGUUAGAUGAUCUAGUUCUUAAUAUUAUUACUUUACUCAAUUGACAAAUUCCACAACAAAUCUCUUGAUUCGGAAUUAGGGACUCAUGUAUCAUCUGAUGAAUCCACUUUCUUUUACACUUCUGUAUCUUACUCUACCUUGUUUUUUAGUAUUAUCUAAAAUAACUGAUGAAUUCUGAAUUUUCCAUAACUUAGGUAAAUGCUUUACCAACAUAUGUAGUGUAGUAAAAAUAAAUAAAUGGAAUUUAACUCUUUCAUGCUUACUUUAACUAGUUAUUUUGGUUUUCUACUGGCUGCUUUAACUAUAACCCCAGCUCUAUUUAUUGGCUUGAACAAGAUACGCCUUAUUUGAAUUGACUGAAUAAUUAUAAUUCAGAAAAGAAAAAUCUUUCUUUGGGAUUCCUGGCAUUCUACGACUCUUUUCCAGACUAAUUAGGAAUUCUUUUCUUGGUCAUUGAGAUUCGUGGAUAAUUUAGAGUACUAUUUAGGGAUAGAUCGUACCUCUUUUUUUAUCCCCUCGAACAAAUCGAAAUGAUUGAAGUUUUUCUAUUUGGAAUCGUCUUAGGCCUAAUUCCUAUUACUUUAGCGGGAUUAUUCGUGACUGCGUAUUUGCAAUACAGGCGUGGGGAUCAGUUGGAUCUUUGAUUGAGUCAUUUUUUUUGAUUGACCUCCUCCAGACCAGAGAGGAGGUCAAAUUGAAAUUGGAGUUACAAUUCAAUUUUGUUAAGUUAUUUUACUCUGCUUCGACAUAANNNNNNNNNNAAAUGAAUUUCUAGGUCCCGGGAUUUCUUACCAUCAAGUUGGUAAAAAGCCUCGAUUUAUUGGCAAUUGCUAGAAUUAUCUAUGAUCUAUUUUGGAAAUCCUUUUUUUGUUUAGACUGCUUUUUGUUUAUGAGAUGUCUGGAAUUCCUUAUUUAUAUCCCAUGCAAAAGAAGAGAAUCCAAGGCAAAGGCGAGAACAAUAAAAUUAAAAUUUCUUCCUUUUCGGAGGGAUUGCAGGUCUUCUUAAUCGUCUAUUCGGCACAAGAAAAAGGCUUUUUCUUGUGCCGAUUCUUCUUGUAUCAAAAUAAGAAUCCUUUUUCUUCCUAAUUCGUCAAAGAUUACUAUUUCUUCUUUAUUCGGGUCUGUCUCUUGGACCUCUUUUUCUUUUGCUUAGGUUUAGCCGAGGUAGUGGACAAACAGAGGGGAAGAAAAUAUGGCGGGGGAAAAAUUUCUUGUGAUUGUGAGCAAAUUGCUUGGCUUGUUUAAUUAAGUUCAACUUCAAAUUUACAGAAAUUUUGCAAAAAAAAGUAAACUCUUCCAUUGAAGGUUUUUUUUUUAUUUUUAGGCUAGUUGAAUAGUUUUGAUUAAGGUUUUAUUAGUUUAUUACUCGAAACUAAAUCAAGGAUUUUCAGGAUACUUCCUUCGUGGAAUAAGAUAUUGGAUCCUCGAGUGAUCUCUUUUUCUUGUUGCUUCAUAAGAGUGAAUCGAAUAGAUUCAAUUCGCGUUAUAAGAGUAAAAAUUCCGCGGGUCCUUUCCGCUCUAAUCAGAUAAAGGGGGGUAAGGACCCGCUAAGCUCCUACUUUUUCAUGUUUACAAUCUAGUCCCUCCGAUUACUAUAGAGAUGAACCCAAUCCAGAAUAUGAACCAUAAAAGAAAACACCUACUAAACCAAUCACAGCAAUACCAGCUACAGUACCUAUCAGCCAAAGAGGAAUUCUUCCAGUAGUAUCGGCCAUUUCCCCUACUUUCCUCCACAUUUUAUCAAUUGGUCAUGCUAGAGACAAAAACAGUCAUGGGUAGUUAUAAGGAUGGUAUCCUUCCAAAUGGGAUAAGAGAAUUCUUAUUAGUCUCUUUCUUUCUCUCAAUUGAAGAAGUAAUUGGAAAAUAAAACAGCAAGUACAAAAAUGAGUAAUAGUAUAGACUGGUACGAUUCAAUUCAACAUUUUGUUCAUUCGGGUUUGAUUGUGUCAUAGUUCUAUAGUUGGAAUUUGUUUUAUCGUUGGAUGAACUGCAUUGCUGAUAUUGAUCCCAAGAAAAAAACAGUAGGUACAGCUAGUCCGUGAAUAGCCAGCCAUCGCACUGUAAAAAUAGGAUAGGUUCGAUCUAUGGUCAUUGAGGGCCUCCUAAAAGGAUCUACUAAAUUCAUCGAGUUGUUCUAAAGAAUCAAAACG